UACGUAGGGUGCAAGCGUUGUCCGGAAUUAUUGGGCGUAAAGAGCUCGUAGGCGGUUUGUUGCGUCGGCUGUGAAAUCCCGAGGCUCAACCUCGGGUCUGCAGUCGAUACGAGCAAACUAGAGUGUUGCAGGGGAGACUGGAAUUCCUGGUGUAGCGGUGGAAAUGCGCAGAUAUCAGGAGGAACACCUAUAGCGAAGGCAGCUCGCUGGUACGACACUGACGCUAAGGCGCGAAAGCGUGGGGAGCGAACAGG
rnacentral:rRNA from 1 species